GAUGAACGCUAGCUACAGGCUUAACACAUGCAAGUCGCGGGGCAGCAUGUCGGUUGCUUGCAACCGAUGAUGGCGACCGGCGCACGGGUGAGUAACGCGUAUCCAACCUGCCCUUCACCACGGAAUAAUCCAGUGAAAAUUGGUCUAAUACCGUAUGAGGUCAUACGAUGGCAUCAGAAUAUGACGAAAGGUUUGGCGGUGAAGGAUGGGGAUGCGUCUGAUUAGCUUGUUGGUGAGGUAAACGGCUCACCAAGGCGACGAUCAGUAGGGGUUCUGAGAGGAAGGUCCCCCCACAUUGGAACCUGAGACACGGUCCAAAACUCCUACGGGAGGCAGCAGUGAGGAAUAUUGGUCAAUGGGCGAGAGCCUGAACCAGCCAAGUAGCGUGCAGGAAGACGGCCCCUAUGGGGUUGUAAAACCUGCUUUUANAUGGGGAUAAAGUGAGUUACGUGUAGCUUAUUGCAGGUACCAUAUGAAUAAGGACCGG
rnacentral:rRNA from 1 species